rnacentral:rRNA from 1 species
GGUUAAGUCCGCAACGAGCGCAACCCUACGUUAGUUGCUAACAGGUGAAGCUGAGCACUCUAGACGAACUGCCGUUGACAAACGGAGGAAGGUGGGGAUGACGUCAAAUCAUCAUGCCCUUAUGUUCUGGGCUACACACGUGCUACAAUGGCCGGUACAGACGGAGGCGAAGCCGCGAGGCGGAGCAAAUCCGAAAAAGCCGGUCUCAGUUCGGAUUGCAGGCUGCAAUUCGCCUGCAUGAAGUCGGAAUCGCUAGUAAUCGCAGGUCAGCAUACUGCGGUGAAUACGGUUCCCGGGCCUU